rnacentral:rRNA from 1 species
UACAGGGGGUGCAAACGUUGCUCGGAAUCAUUGGGCGUAAAGCGCACGUAGGCGGUUCGUUAUGUCGGAUGUGAAAGCCCUUGGCUUAACCGAGGAAGUGCAUCCGAAACUGGCGAGCUAGAGUACUAAAGAGGAUCGCGGAAUUCCCGGUGUAGAGGUGAAAUUCGUAGAUAUCAGGAGGAACACCGGUGGCGAAGGCGGGUCUCUGGGCCGAUACUGACACUGAGAAGCGAAAGCGUGGGGAGCGAACAGG